UAGGACUUAAAAAUAACAUAAGCAGAAAAAACAAUUUAUUGGCUUAUCCAAUUCAAAGGAGAGAAAAAAAGGAUGGAGUUGACUUCAUUUUUCACUGGAUCUAAAAGCUUGAAGAGAAUCAUGACUCUGCCCAUCUUUAUCCUAGUUUUGGUUUUACUCUCUUAGGAGCCUCAGUGUAUCAAGGAAUAAGAUAGCUAGCAGUUCUAGGGCUCCAUCCGUACAACUCCUGAUCAAGAGAGUACUUUACUUCCAAAUACCGAAGAUUUCAAGCAAAGGGUGUGGCUGUCCUGGCUUUGGUCAUUAUUCUUCAGCUAGGAAGAAGUUGUGUUAUAGCCUGGAUCUCAUGCCCUACCUCCUUGUGAAGAAGGCCUUAGAGUGGGGCUGGGAGCUCGGUACUGCUAUUAGCAAGAAAGGGAAAGAGAGAUUGGGCAGAUAGACAUAACAAGUGUGCACUGACUUGAUUCAUGAGCUUGCUUAUUAACUGAAUUCUAACAGUAAGGUGUUGUGGCUCUUUUUCAGUAUAUAGAG
rnacentral:lncRNA from 1 species